CAUUCUGCAACUCCAAAGACAAGAGGUAGGGCAUUCCUUCACGCUCCUUUUUCUUAAUUACAAUUAAAACGUCUGUGAUCUCUCCUUAGAUCUCCCUCGAAGGACCCGGGUGCUUAAAUUCUGCAGACAGCUGGGAACAGCUGAUUAACACACUUCACGUGGUGCUGAAGCCUGGCUACAAAACAGUUUCCCUAAGCCACUCUUAUUUCCAUACUAACUUCUACUGCAGAAGCAAACAUGUAUUCUAGCCAGAACAAAAAGCAUAGCCCCAGUAUGUAAUUUUGGAACAACUUUACCCAUGGGGAAGCUUCUGUAAAAAAAUUACAUAUUUAAAAGGAAAGUAUUAUCAGUUUUGAUGAAGCAAGCCAAACUCAGUCACGGGGAGAACAAAUAGCGUGUUUACCCUGAAACACCGUGCCAGGACCUGUGUUUCUUUACACUACAGCGUCUGUGAGAGGAAAUGUAUCUGUCACAUUCUCUGAACUUUAUCACCGAUCUGUGGAUGGUUUUAAAAGAGUGAAAAAUAUGGUGUGAUGCUAAACAUCUCUAAAUGUACUAAUUAAGGGUGAUCUCUUGGGGAAUCAAUGGUUAGGGCCAUUUAUGCAUUUGAUUAAGAGUCUCUGUGCUUUCUUUAGAGUGAAAAUGGUGUCCUUGCAUAAUGUACAUCUCUGUAACUCUAAUUUGCCUUGGGACUUGAUUUCCGCAACCAUUGUGCAAUUCCAGUGUUCGGAUCUCACAGUCCAAAAACUACUAGCCAGGUGAUUGUGAAAUUUAAUAAUGUAUGAGGCCCUUUCCUGAACUAUUAAGUUAGGUAGGACAGCCACCAAGGAUAACUUGUCAAAACAUGGGUCUGUCCCUUCAGGAGUGUGCCCAGCAGUGCCUUGAGAAGGACUCAUCCUAAGAGAACAGGGCAGUGUGCAGUGAAGAGAAGCCACUGAAGAAGCUUUGGUCAUUGCUGGACCCAGCUACACAUCAGCAGCCCUCCUGUACUAGAAGACAUUGAAGGUCUCCCUCCUCCAAUGUACCCAUGUGCAGCUGGGCUGGAGGAACCAGAUCCCAGAGCAAAGUUCUCAGCUGUGCAUACCACCAGCUUUUCACAGAGGGACACUUCAAAGUCAUUUCCAAAAGUUAACUUAAAGGAAGCUUGCCAAUCUGGAACCUGGCUGUGGGAUCCAGCGCACAUUUGACUUCUUUCUCAUCCGAAGAGCUGAGUUCAAAGUCUUGGAGCAGCUGUAGCCACCGGGUGGAGGACACGACAUUGGGACUUGGUGGUGAGCAUCUAGAUUUGCAAUUGGAAAAACUUUAAGAGGUUUCUUAAAGAAAAAUCAGGUGAUACUGAAGCUCGCGUGUCCGACCCAUUUCACUUCACAGGACGGUCUCAAGGUGCAUCCGCUUUCCUACGGAUGACUCGAGUGGGUCCUUGACAGCAGCCUUGGAAACGGCAGUGGCUAUGAUCACAAGGACAGCCAGAGUGGAGAAAGACCCCGAGUGACUGUCAGGGGACCCAGUCACAAGUAAUGUCCACCAGCGGGCUGGUCCAUUAGCAUGUUGGUUUAGUUGCUCAUUCAUUACUGCAGAUUGGUGCUACGCAGUGGAUGAGGGCCAGCGUCCUGGUCACUUCCUCAGAAACACAGAUUCCUGGGCUCUCUGCACCUCCUGUGGUAGGGAGUUCCUAAGAAGAGGCAGCAGUGAUCGGAUGUCAGUUCUGAGAGGCAGUGACACAAAGACCCAGGUAUGGCCUUGGCUGGCCUUUCACUUGCUAUGAAGGAUGCCAGCUGCAACUGUGGACAGCCUUCUGGGAGGUCCACGUGAUAAGGAGCUGAUGCCUUCCGUCAAGUCCUGCCUGACUGCUCAAGGCCUUGGGCCCCGUGAAACCCCUGACAUCCACAUUGGAGCCUUGUGAGAGACUCAGUGGUGACCCACAGAAGCUGGGUGGUCAGGAAUGUUUGUUGUUUGAACCCUCUAUUUUGAGAUUAAUUUGUUAUGCAGCAUUGGGUAGCUAAUACAACUACUGCAUCAGAAACUCUGCAAGUGGGGCCAGGAAUGGAUAUUUUAACAUGUUUUCCAGGUGAUUCCUAUGCACAAUUUCAGAGGCAUUUUAUACCCAAACUCAAAGCAAAAGCUUUUGAGUCAAACUCUAGGGUUCAAAUCCCAGUUGGGUCAAUUCCCAGCCCCAAGGGCUUGAGUGGUAACUGACCUCUCUGAGCUUUCAUUUCUUCUGUAAAAUGUCACUUAUUUACACCAGUAUGUACUUCAGGGCUGUGAAAAGCACUCACUGGAUUAUCAUAUUUAAAACAGUGCAUCGCCUGUCAACGGUGAGCACAGUACAUUUAGCAAUGAUGAAGUCACCCUGCAGACUCUACAAGGGGCGGGCAUUGUGCUAGCUGCUGAUGUUCCAUGGGCACAUCAGACAUUGCCCACUUCCCCUGGCACCAGUGCCCUGGGGAUGGGGAGGGACAGCUGAAGACUCUGGGACCGACUUCUGCAGUCUGGAGGCCAGACGUGGGCUCUCCCAUGAACCAACACUUGCAGGAAAGAUGCAAGGUGUGGGCUGGAGCCAGCUCAACACUCACGUCUGGUUUUUGGAAUCUCUACAGCUUCCUUUUCAUAUGGACAACAGGCAAACCUGUCAUAGCAGCUGACUCUUCAGAGAGAAGCUGCUGGAAGGAGGUGGAUCGUCCGUGUCUCUUUCUCGGGGCUCCAGCCAUGGGUUUAAUUUUUGCUCCUGACCAGACUGCCCACCUCUUAGCCCCGCCCUCUUUCUGGAAGGUUCUUUCCACCCUCCUUGCUCGGUGGGCCCAUUCUGAUCCUUCGUCUGCUUAAUGCCUCUCGGGGAAGUCUGCCCGCCGGUCCUCUCUGAGAACUUCCCGUUUGCCCAGCAGCGCUGCCCUCAGCACUUAGUGAGUUGCUGGUUCUCCUGUUUGCCGUCAGCAUCUCCAGCAGACAUCACUGUCUCUGGUCUGUUCUACUUGCCAUGCUGCACACCACAAGAGGAGGAGGUGAAUGGAUAAAUGGGCUCCAGAUAUCAUGCAAAUGGCUUGGAAACUUGUGUAUCAGCCACAAGAAUCCCAGCAUUCAAAGAAACCAAGGAAGCGCUACCAAGAAACCACCUUGGAGCACGCAGAGGUCACCUGAGGGACUCACUGUGGUCCACCACGUCGGCGUGAAGCAGCAAGAGACCCCGGAUUCCAUGCGUGGCUCACCAGAAACGAUUUAGACAAUCGUGCGAUGCACUUAGCAAAAGAAGACUGGACGUGAUGUAACCUUCUUGAGUGACUCAGCAGGCACCUGCCAGGGUCUCUGGGUUACGGUCAUGAGUUAUGACUGUACCACGGGACCAUAAAAGAGCUAGAUGAUUAAAAAUAAUCUUGUUGACAGAAUGUAAGACAAACUCGAUUCUACUGCAUGUCCAGGACAGGGUUGCCAGCCAAUUGCAGAAUCCAGAGGGCUCGGCUCUGAUGGGAAAACGGGCUUGAACUGUGGGGUGAUGGGUUCCCCAAUUUCCUCGUCUUCCUGAGUGAAUGCUUCUCAUUUUCUCUCAGUCACUGCAUCUGUGGAUGGAUCUACAGAUGUCUAUGGAAGCCCACGCAGACGUGGCCACUUCCUCCUCUUGUAGGAUGUCACCUGGGUCAGCGUGGGUGUGUUUAUUUCUUCCUGUGUCUCUUUCUUCCCUGGGGUGAGGGUCCCUAGAAGUGGGGACUCGUAUGGCACCUACAUCUUUUUUUUUAUUUGUGUACAUGUUGGUGUGUGUGAUGGUUAGUUACAUCUGUCGUGGAGGAUCUGUGCACACACACACACACACACACACACACACACACACACGCUUGAAGGUGUGCGAGAGUGGAGAACGCAGCAAUUGUGGACAAGCAAUCAGGUAGGGCCUCUGUCUCCUCCACCAGGGGUCAGUAAAACUUUUAUGGGACACCCAAGAUGACACCCACAUUUAGGAGAGGUCCUGUUUCUUGGCCACCAUUUGUCCCUCAGAAAAGGAAAACUAGAGGCUUCUGAUAGAAUUGCAAAUUCUAGGGUCAGUCCCAGAUCCAGCAAAUCAGAUGCUCUGGAGUCAGCACCCGGCACCCGUCUGAAGGGCCCAUCAGGCGAUUCUGACUCCUGCUGACAUUGAGCCACUGGUCUCAUGCUUCUAACUCAUUUCUGCCUCAGGACAUUUGAACUCGCUAGACCUUAGGCCUGGGGCACUCUGAAGGCCCCAGCAACCCUGCCUGCUGGACCUCUGAAUGAUGCAGAGAAUGAAACUGCCAACCUACUAUGUCCGGUAUGAGCUUGUGUUCUCUAAAAUUGAAGAAUGAAUUUUAGGAACACAAAGGUUAAGAGUAGAGUAUAUUGGCGAGGGAUUUAGCUCAGCAGCAUAAGCGCCUGCCUUGCAAGCAGGCAGUCAUGAGUUCGAUCCCUGGUACCAAUGAAAAGGAAAAAGACAAAAAAAAAAAAAAAGUGUCUUCAAGAGUAGAGUAUAUUUAUUAAGAGAAGGAAAGCUUCUGUCUAAAGAGAGACAGAAGGGGUCCUGAGCGGGUUGCCCAGGACUCUGUCUUUCCUAGGGACUUUUAUAGAACAAAAUCAUGGGGUGAGACAGGUUCAAGGUGGGGGAAGACUGGGAACUCACAAGGCAGAUGGGCAUGAGGUGGGACGUAACUAUAGUUAGCCAAUAGGAUCAAUAGUUCAGGUAAAAUUGAUUACAUUGGGGACAAAUGGGGCAGCAAGUCACAUAGAAAGUGGGCAUUCUUAAGGAGCAGUGACUCUUCCCUAGAGGGUUGGGGUGGUGACUCCAGGCUUCCUCGGGGUGACAGGGAGCUAACCAUUUAGAAUAUCAGUCCUUAGGAUGUGGGUGCAUUUGUGUGAUCUUUUGUCCUGAGGCCCGGCCCACAGCAGGAGGGGUCAGUCUCCCCAGUUGCCAGGUGUCUGCUCUGCUCCACUGAGGCCCAGCCCUGUCUGGCUGCCUGUAAUAUUUCUAACCAACUCAGUUGCCUGCAACAGUGGGACAUCCCCUCGCCACAGAGACUUCCCCACCUAGCCCUUUACGGUCAGCCUCCCUGGUUUCUUCACCCCGGUCUAUGGCGUUGUCUCUGGAAGCUCUCCACUGAACGAUCAGAAAUUACCUGAUCCUGGUCCGUUCACUUGUUAUUCAUCAUCCGACUCCUCCAGGUGAAUGACAGCAGAUGCUCCUGUCUUCCAUACCACUCUGCCCUAUACCUAUGUACCCAGCACAUAGUAGGUCCUUAACAAAAAGUUUCCCCGAUUAAUGUGCAGGAGAGUUUUUAUUAUCAUUGUUGUUGUUGUUAGCUGCCUUGAAGAGGGAAGACAAAUUCAAAGGCAGGUGCAGUGCUGUGGGCCGGCCUUGCAUGAAGCUCGAAGCUGAGGAUCCAUUCUAAAUGCAUCCCUUGAAAAUCUGCUGCCCUAGGGCUGGCUGGUCCAUCAGACCCUCGGGUCUUUGCCAGGCUGGGUUUGUUUCCCAAGAGCAGCAGCAUCUGCAGACAGCUCUGGAAUCACUGCUGGGGAUGCAGGUGGAUAUGGGGGCUGGGGAAGAGGCAGGACUGCUCCUUACCACAAGGGAUGAGCAGACCUAGCUGGCAAUGGUGCCCAGGUCCAGAAUGCUGACCUUGGCCUUGGCCUCCUGCUCCUCUCUGACCCUACACUCCCCGCUCCUCAGCACGUAUACUGUAAGGACCAGCGGUGCCAGACCAGGUGCACAGUGAGGUUCACCUAAGGAGUGGGAAGGACCUGCUGGGUCCCCCUGAGCCUGAGUCUCAGUGCCCUGUGUGUCAUGGCUGAGGAGGACCGUGGCUGUCGUGGUCACCUCAGGAGGAACCCUGGCCUGGGACUCCAGAGGUGCCGGUGGCGGCCCCCUCACCUGGCCCUUGAUUAAUUCCCUGCGGCCACCAUCCUCCUCCCCUGCUUAGGUUCACUCUCCUGUGUUAGUGCACGCAGGAGAAGCCACUGCUCCUCUCACCGCUGGUGUCCCGCAGAUGUACCCAGCACCUCUUACCCUUCCUGGCCUUCUUCCCUGCCCUCGCACCCUGCCCCUAACUCCCCACUUGCACAAGAUCUGUCUCUCUGUCUCAUUUAAUUUAAUUUUUGUCUUCUUGAGAUAGAGUUUCACUCUGCAGUUCAGGCUGUAGCCCAGGCUGCUCUGGAAUUCCCAAGGAUCCUCCUGCCUCAGCCUCCCAAGCGCUGGGAUUACAGACAUGCACCACCAUGCCUGGCUUUCCUGUCUCCUUUAUCUGCCGUCCAGUUGUCUAGUCAUACUCUUGGCUUCUCAGAUAAGAGAACCCACUUGAUCCUGAACUGUCCGCUGGGUCUGAUUUAUGUCCCGUGACAUGAUGGUUUCUUGGCGCCUCUGUUUUUCCACAGAUGACUCCAGCUGGUCUGCUUUGUGGCACAGUGAUACCCCACUUUAUCCACUCACCUCGUGGUGCACACGUGGGCCGCUUCCAAGGCUUAGCUCUGGGGAGUUGUAGGACUGUGACCACGAGAGAGCGUGGACUUCAGUCAUCUGAUGCCUUCCAGGCUUCUGAGAAGAUGCCUGGGGGGCCCUAAUUGGGCGAUCCGGGUGUCUAUAUUAGGUCGUUUGAGGCCUCUCCGUGCUGAGGCCCACGGAGGUUGCCCCAGCCCACACUCCCACCACAGCGGAGCAGGGUCCUUCCUCCCCACCGCCCUGCCGGGAGCACUUGUUAUAGAUUGCUGCCUUUAUGAUGGCCCCCCUUUCAGGCCAAGAUGAAACUUUGGGCUGCUUCAGUUGGGGUUUCUGUGGGGGCCAUCGGCGUCCAGUAUCUUCUCAGGUAUCUGUGGGCCGUGUUCUUCCUCUGGGUGCUUACUUCUUGCUCCACCUCCUCCCUCGUUCCCCCUCCUUGGUCCACGUGGGCGAUGGUGACUCUCACCUAAAGGAUCCCAGAUGUCGGACCCUGCAAGUCUGAGCCCGGCCCUCAGUCCCUGCUGGCUGCAGGGAAAGAUCUGGCCCUGGGCUCCGAUUCUGCCUUGGCAUCAAGCUCCCCAAGUCCGCUGGGCUUUCCCUAAGAACCCAGCUGCUACCCUGUCACAUGUCAUCUGAGUGACACUUUAUGAAGAUUGAUUGGGUAUAUUCACCACCAUUUAAACAUUUACUAAUUCUGGCGUUUCAAUAUGUUUUCCAAUUUUGGACUCGUCUUUUUCCCAAUGGAAAUGUAAUCAUAGACCUUUGAAAAAUCAUUUGUGUCUGGGGUGCUGUGUAUAGAAAAAGGGACGUCUGACAGGCAAGAUGUACACACCUAGAAUCCUAGCUACUCGGGAGGCUGAGGCUGGAAGACUGCGAGCUCAAGACCAGCCUGGGCAACUUGGUCAAACCCUGCUUCAGAAUAAAAAAUAAAAUGGGUGGAGGGUAAUAACUGAGUGGGGAGGGCCCUGGGUUUGAGCCCUGCUCUACAUUUAAUCUCCAGUAUAGAAAACAAAAAGAAAGAGAAGGAGAAAGAGAAAGAGAAAGGAGAGAAAGAAAGAGGUUUUAGUUUCCUGUGUGCCUGUGAAAGCAGGGGAGUGUUUUCUAGGACUCCCACGCCAAACAUUCCCAUUUUUGCCUUAUAGACAAUGGGAUCGAAUUAAUUAAUUAGCUGAACAAAUAGGAGUUUAGUGACAGACACUAUAGUUGCUGGUACUGUAUUGGAGAAUAGAAAACCCAAGCUCCUGCCCCAUGGAGCUCACACUGGAAAUGUAACAGAUAAAUAAAUUAACAAAUCGGCAUACAGUCUGCCAGGUGUUGAUUGGUGUUAAGGAAGAAAAUAAAAUAGCACAAGGGGCUAGGAGAGUGGAGAAGGUGCCGCUGUUUGAUUUAGGUGGUCUCUAGAGAAAGCUAAUCUGAGAAGAGACUUGAAGCCAGUCAGGAAGCAUUCCCUGUGGAUACAGAGAGCAGACUGGCAAAGGCAAGCAUGUGCAGAGGUCCUGGGGCAGGAGCAUGUUUAGCAUAAGUGAGGAACAGCAAAGUCUCCAGCUGGGCUGGAGAAGAGAGAAUGGCCUAC